rnacentral:rRNA from 1 species
GUGCCAUCCGCCGCGGUAAUACGUAGGUGGCAAGCUUUAUCCGGAAUUAUUGGGCGUAAAGCGCGCGUAGGCGGUUUUUUAAGUCUGAUGUGAAAGCCCACGGCUCAACCGUGGAGGGUCAUUGGAAACUGGGGAACUUGAGUGCAGAAGAGGAGAGUGGAAUUCCACGUGUAGCGGUGAAAUGCGUAGAGAUGUGGAGGAACACCAGUGGCGAAGGCGACUCUCUGGUCUGUAACUGACGCUGAGGAGCGAAAGCGUGGGGAGCGAACAGGAUUAGAUACCCCCGUAGUCC